GCAGAGUUCACUAGAAUUGCCAGUAAGAAUCUUGAAGUACAGUUCUUUGAGGCGUUGGACAAGUACACUCCUUCGCUUUUUUGAACUCUUCAAGUCGAAAAAAGGAGCCAUUGGGAAAAAAGGCACAAACUUGAUGCCACAAGAUGUGACUGUGCUGCGCUCCAUUGUGCUCCAAGGGAUUCCCAUUGCAGUCAGUGAUAAUCCCAGUGAUUUCUUCAAGACAUGCAAUGACACAAGUGACAAGGACCUGGCAUCUCUGACAGUUGGUGUUGUGACUGUUGUCAGUCAAGAUGGUUUUCCUCUGGGUCACGGCUCAACUCAUCUUCAGCCAACGUCAACCGCCAUUGUCCUUGAGGGACGCAUUGUCAUGGAGGACAUUAAGGACUUUUGCCUUGUCUUUGGUUUGACUUAUGCACUACAUUUAAACUACCCAAAAUGCAUGACAAACACACUCAACUUUAUUCAAAAAGUGAUGCUUGGGUUGGGCUCCAAGGCACUAUCUCCAAAACUUCUCACACUGAAAAACUAUCUUCUUUGCUAAGUCAGAUAUAGACAGAUGGAGAGUGAUAGAAAGAGGGAGACAGAAGUAUACAGGAGAGAGGGAUAUAGACAGGGAUAGAAAGAGGGACACAGAUGUGUCUUUAUUCAAAAAGUGAUGCUUGGGUUGGGCUCCAAGGCACUAUCUCCAAAACUUCUCACACUGAAAAACUAUCUUCUUUGCUAAGUCAAAGUCAUCCUGUUUGGUUGGAAACUGAUUGAAAACGUUCAGUUUACUUCUAAAUUUUUGUAAUGUUGUAAUUUGUCUGUUGUUGUAGUUAAAAACAAUGAAAAUAUUUGAUACUUCACCAUAAAGUUUUACAGUUAGAAAGGAAAUGACGUACAGUCACAGUCUGGGGGGGACCACUUGUUGACCUUUUAAGGCAGUUAUUGAUUGCUAGCUUGAUUGUAUGAUUUCACCUUCCUUUAUUCUAUUUUAUUUUUUAUAAUGUGUACAAAACAUCUUGACUGUUAAUCUGCAGUCAGAUUCAUUUUUUUGUGUUUGACUACAUUUUGUGUGUUUGAUUAAGCUUUUUGUAUUGUGCACUUUUGGAAAAUGAAGGUCACUGGCCCAUUUUGGGUGCCUCUGAAAAUUUUCUGUUACUCUGUGAUAAUUUCUUCCAAGGCACUUAACCGUAGUAGCUCUGAAACGUUCUGAUAAGGAAAGGCUGACUUUUUUACCAGGUUGAGAAACA